rnacentral:lncRNA from 10 species
AGCUGUGGUGCGUGCCGCUAAGUUGUGCGUUCCAGGGUGCACUCGCCGGCGAGGCUGCACGGCGCCGGUUUCAUUGCUAAAAUCCGACGGACUUGUUGCAGAACUCGUUUUUUUUGUCGGGAAAGGGCUUCCCCGUGUAACUUUACAGCAGUUAUCGUAGAUAAGACUUGCAAAUUACAGAUGUGGACGGUGAGGGAACGGGAAUUUCACUGAAAGCGCCUGAGAACCAAUUCAUUUCUCUCUGAGGAUCUCAUGAGGUGGCUUAGCAGCUAGAAUCUCUUCCUUAACAGUGGGAAGAACAACUCCUGGAAAUUUAGGUCGACUUUGACUGGAUUUAAAAGAAAGCUGUACAAUUCCACUUCUGUAUAUACAACCAAAGGAAAUGAGAUGUGCAUACCCAUGUUCAAUGAAGCAUUAUUCACAAUAGCCAAAAUGUGGAACCAAUCCUUAAACAAAAGGAAAACAGAAAAUCUGCUCAAGUCCCUGCAGGCACCUGAGAAAAUCACAACCCACACUUGCGAACCCCUAGGAGACCUAAAGCUGUGGUUUUACAAAUAAACAGAUAAGUAACAUUCCUACUCUUUCCUAUAGGUACUCAAUCUUCUUAACAACUCCCAUCCCACACAGGUUUGCAUCCCCAGCAGAUACAUAUGGCUAUGUGGUCACCCAUUCGAUCAGCCUAUAAAAGACUUGUCUUAUUUGAUAUUGUGAAACCCAUGGUUAUCAGUGUAUAUGAAAAUGUUUGGUUCAGGGGUCAAUGUACAAUAUGACAAGCAAAGUCCUCUAAUACACAGUUAUAUAAAAUCACUCACCUGAGAGCCAAGUGGACAAUUGGCCUUAUAUUGGCUGGAGUUGGAGCCCCAGAGGGAAAAUUUGCCUAUUAUUAGGCAACUCUUCAAAACUUUACUUAUUCGUUUCUAAACACUGUCUCAUAAAAUGGGGGAUGCUUUAGAUGAAUUAAGAUUAGCACUAGAUUACUUAUUCGUUGAAAAUUAGCACUAGAUUUCUUAUUGGUUGAACAAGGAGGAGUGUGCACCAUAAUCAAUAUAACCUGCUGCAGUUAUGUAAACACCUCAGGUCACAUAGAAGAAGAUAUACAGAAAAUACAUGAACAAGCUGUGUGGUUGCGUAAAUAUAACCAAGGCACCAAUCCCAACUGUAUCUGGUCAGCCAUUAGAAGCACCCUCCUGAGUCUCACUUGGUUGUUGCCCUUCCUAGGAACUUUGAUAGUUGUCUUAUUAUUAAUCUUUGGCCCUUGCUUGUUUAAAUUCUUGGUAAAGUUUGUGUUUUUUAGAUUACAACAAUUCCACAUAAAGAUGAUACUGACACAAAGCUUCCAAUCCAUCCCGUCUUCUGAACCGGGAAAUAAAGACACCCUGCCUUUAGGUGUCUUUAGAUCUAGAUCAGGCAUCUAGAGAUUUUUACUCCUCCAAUACUUGGCAGGGUCUAUGCCCGUAGACUCAUCAGGAUACCAUGUAAAUGAGGACCUCCCUUGGUACCCCAGAGGCCAACUGUAGACCCUUAUGAGAAAAUCCUGUCCCCAAAAUGAACAUCCACUGUCAGCAGGAAGAAGUUACAGAAGACCAGCCUUUGCCCUUACGAUUAAGGGUCCUCUUGUAAGUAGAGAGGGGAAUGUUAGGAAAGCAGGAGCCUAGGUGAUCCAGAGUGACACCAUUUUAAAAUAAACUCCACCUGAAAACUAGCAAGGCAUCUGCACACAUCUGUUUAGCAAGUAUAUACUUCUGUAACUGGAAUAAAAAGCGUUAUUUUAGAAUAUGCCUAUAGUUUGUAAUAAUUAGCCGAGGGAAAAAAAGUUCACAUUGGUGUAGGAAAAGUGCCCUAAUGGUCAUGGGUAAUAAUGGGACCGUGGUUCUGGUCAGUGAUUUGAUGGAAGGGGUGUAGAUAAUAUAUUGUUGUAAAUAAUAAAAAUAAAAAAUUGUUGUAAGUAAUAAAAAUAAAAUAAUAUUGUUGUAAGUAAUAAAGUAGGAGAAAUAUUUGGUCUUUUGCUUUUGGGUUAGUGCAACAGUAGUACCAUUACUUGGAGGAGAAGUUAGAGAAGGACAAGAAUAGGCUUGAAUAAGAUGAGUGAGAAGAGAGAAAAAUUCCGUAAGUGGAGAUGGCCAGGGAACACCAGGGCAGCAGAAUCUAACUCUGAAUUUAAUGCUGUUGUCUGUUCAUAUUGCACUGCGCUGUAAUCUCCCUAUCUUUCCUAAACCAUUGGCAAAGUCUGCUAUCCACUGGGGCCUUGGGUCGGUGGUGCUUUGGGAAAUACCAGAAGAGGGAAAGUACGGCAAAUGUGCAGUGUCACAGAUGAUAGGAGGAAAGCUGGCCAGUGGGAUGAUUAAAACAAUUUCGGUGGGAGUGGGAAUUCAGACCAUGUAAAUGGUCUGAAUUAAGAAAAUUUCAAGAAACAAAAAAUGUUUCUAAUGAGCCAAAGUGAAAGCUCUUCAUGAUUUCUUUAUAGAGGCUCUCUAGUGCUUGUCCUAAUUUCCUGAAAUCUCAUGGGUAUCUUACUCUCCUGGUGCCCGCCUCAAACAUUCACUGUAGCAAUUAUAUGAGCAGCCUAGAGAAUCCCAAUCCCAGUGGUCUUGCUCCCUGGAUCUACUUUCUCUUAAAAAUCAUUCCCCUAAGUUUCCGUCACUUGGUUGAAGUUUAGUAGAUAUCUCCACAUCUCCAGCUAGAACAGCACCAGAAUUUCAGGACUAGGGCAAUAGAGUCUGAUAUUAAAUUCUAUUUCUAUCUAUCUAUCUAUCAUCUAUCUAUCUAUCUAUCUAUCUAUCUAUCUAUCUAUCUAUCUAUCUACAGAACAAUUUGUGGGAUAGUAGCUUUGGGGUCCCAGAUCUAGGAUGGGCCUGGUCCUCCAUGCUGGUUCUCCUGGGUGAUAUUUCUGUUAGUUUGAACAGUAAUCACACUUUUAUUACUGUUUCAUCUUUUUUUUUUCACUCUUAGACUGAUUUUAUCAUGUGUAUAAAACAUACACACACCUACAUCUCAAGGAUAAACAUUAAUCCUUGAAAAAUAUGUGGUCUAAAACUAUAUUGAGGAGAGAAAGAUAGGACACUUUAAUUGCCACAUGAUUAACACGAGGUCACCACACAGCUUUCACAAAUCUACAAGUCAUUCUAUUUAGGCUGAGUCAAGUUCUCCCUUGGGCCAGCCAGAGCACAAAUAAUGGAGCAAUGUGACUCUUCAAUGACAGAUCUCUGAUUUCCAGAAAAGAGACUUUGAAAUACCCAAUUCUAGUAAAUAUGCAAUUAAAUUUCCAGCUAAAUGACCUUUGCUCCUGUAGUCUUCAUCUUGGGGAAGGGAAAGAAGUCUUAUUCUGUUUAAUAGUUUGAUUUUUAUAAUAGGGUUUGUCUCUGUUAUAAAUCUUGUUUGAUAUUUAAAAUGUUAGCUAAGAGAAAACUUCUGUUUGUUUUUAUUUAGUGGGAAGAAACUAACCCUCAUUGAGUGCCUAGUUAACAUCAGGCACUUUGUACACAUAAUCAAUUGAAUCUUGACCACAACCCUGUGAGAUCCAUGGAUGAUUCUGGGUUUAGUUCUUUGUGAGACUGCCAGAAACUCCCAGAGGCUGGAUCUAUGCAUAAAGAGAGGCCAUUGGAGAGAAUGUCUACUGAAUUGCUGAAGACAAUUGCUACCGAGAAUAGAUCGUAACUUAGGAAGAAACAAUUCAGUACCAAAAGAGUAAUUGGAGCCCUUCUGGAAAACACUAGUAAGGUGAAAAAUGAGAAGAUUAAAUAAGCCAUGGGAAGAUUUUUUAAAAUGACAUGAAACUCCAAGGGUAAAAAGUAGAUAGUGAGAUUGAGACUGACACCGAGCAUUGCCUGGGAAUCACAUAAGAUAAUGCAGGAUGUUCAACAUGAUCAAUGCCAAAUAAAUAUCAGAAUACUUGGAAGUAAAGUACUAAUAGUAGGAGUUCCUGAUUAUCAGGUGCCUAUGAUGUGACAGGCACAUUGUGGCCUGUGCUCGACCAGGAGACUGGUGAGUCCUUGUGGAUUUCUUCCCUGCUCAAGUGCAUAAAGCAGGUGUAUUGCAUAGCUUUUCCAGGCUGAGAUCAAAGACGGAGAUGUGCCUACCCGCAGAUCCUAGAUGGCCAUGUUUGCAACAGAGGUAAUGAUGAGCAGUGCGAAGAUGUGACUCCAAAGCCUGGAGAAGGACAGACCAGCAUCCCUGCAAGAGAUCCAACUGUCUUCUUUUCCGCAGAGGUCCAUAAUUUACAUGGGCCUGACAAAGAAUACUGUAACUUGCAGAAAUUAUCUUCAGUUCAAAUCCUUCAUUUUGGGGGUUAAAUAACUUGCCCAAGAUGUCGAGGGAGCGGAAAUACUUGCUGGUCUUGCAGCGGCUGUGGAGCCUGGAAUCCUGCCAAGAAGAGCAUGUGUGAGAGAUCAAAAUGUUUGCUUACAUUCCUCCUGUGAAGGGAGUUGGGAAAUAACCUAAGAAGCCCAAUCCAAAAACAAAGAUGUACCAUCCAGUCUUCUCUGUGAGAACCAAACUACAAACCAUCUGAAUGUUCCAAAAGUGUUUUGAUGAUGUAUUGAUGUAUUUUAAAUUAUCCUGAAAAUGUUCUUGGCAGAUGCUUAAACAUGUAAUUACUGAGAUGAUGUAGAAAUACCAAGUGUUUAUUAAAACAAUACAGAGUAAUACAAAUGGUAUGUUUGUCGCAAUAUAAAAGUAUCUAAAAAUUAAAGAGUUCUUUAAUGGUGGAGAUUGUUUUCCUUUUUGAAGUUAAAAUAUAAAUUUUUGUAAAAAGCACAAAUUAUUACUAUUUAUAGCUAACAUUUAUGGAGUGCUGACUAUGCUCAUUUUUGAGCAUACAUUGCCUCAUUUAGUGCAAUGUUUAGCAUUAACUUAUGAGGUAAAUGCCAUUGCCAUGCACAUUGUACAGAUGAAGACAUUGAGGUUUAGAGAGAUUGCAU